CUGCCAUGCUGAAGGAAGCUACACAUUUUUCAAGAACAAUGUCACAAGUGAAAAAAGUUCAUUCACGAACGUCCAAUUUAUUGAUAUUUUUUCUACAAAAGUGACUCAAGUCAAAUUGUGUCAUUUUUGCUGAAAAGGUUGAAGACAAAAUGGAGAAUUCAAAACCAUUUUGUAUUUGUAUCUGGUUUCAAAUUGAUAUUCAACAUGGUUAAACAAGCCGAAAACGACUCAACUAUUGAAGGUGAUCCAGAGCCAAAUCAAGAUCCAGGCCAUCCAGAUCCAGAUCUGAGCUGAAAACAAAUAGAGUCAAAUGCUUUGUUUGGAAUGAGAGUGAAGGGAACAGGGGUGCCUGUGAAAUUGGUACAUGUGUUCUGAAGUACAUAGAGAGCUUAGAAGACGAAAUCAACAACACUGAGAGUAAGAAGUUGGAUUUGGUAU